rnacentral:rRNA from 1 species
CAGCCUGCCCAGUGACAAAGUUCAACGGCCGCGGUACCCUAACCGUGCGAAGGUAGCAUAAUCACUUGUUCUUUAAAUGAGGACUUGUAUCAACGGCACUACGAGGGCUAUACUGUCUCCUUUUUCUAAUCAGUGAAACUGAUCUCCCCGUGAAGAAGCGGGGAUCAAGAUAUAAGACGAGAAGACCCCAUGGAGCUUUAAACUUACCACCCACCUCUGUGGUACCACACCAUUCAACACAAGAGACCUGCGUGCUAGUUUUAGGUUGGGGGGACCACGGAGUAUAAUUAAACCUCCACAACAAAUGGGCUAAUACCCUUAUCCACGAGACACAACUCUAAGAAUUACUAAACUAAUGCUUAUGACCCGAUAUUCGAUCAAUGAACCAAGUUACCCUGGGGAUAACAGCGCAAUCUACUUCAAGAGCCCCUAUCGACAAGUAKGUUUACGACCUCGAUGUUGGAUCAGGGUAUCCCGGUGGUGCAGCCGCUACCGAUGGUUCGUUUGUUCAACGAUUAAAACCCUACGUGAUCUGA